AUUGAACGCUGGCGGCAGGCCUAACACAUGCAAGUCGAACGAGUGGCGGACGGGUGAGUAAUGUCUGGGAAACUGCCCGAUGGAGGGGGAUAACUACUGGAAACGGUAGCUAAUACCGCAUACCAUCGGAUGUGCCCAGAGGUGAUAGGCUAGUAGGUGGGGUAACGGCUCACCUAGGCGACGAUCUCUCGCUGGUCUGAGAGGAUGACCAGCCACACUGGAACUGUAACACGGUCCAUACUCCUACGGGAGGCAGAAGUGGGGAAUAUUGCACAAUGGGCGCAAGCCUGAUGCAGCCAUGCCGCGUGUAUGAAGAAGGCCUUCGGGUUGUAAAGUACUUUCAGCGAGGAGGCGUUACUCGCAGAAGAAGCACCGGCUAACUCCGUGCCAGCAGCCGCGGUAAUUC
rnacentral:rRNA from 1 species